CCUACGGGAGACAGCAGUGGGGAAUAUUGCACAAUGGGGGAAACCCUGAUGCAGCAACGCCGCGUGAGUGAUGACGGCCUUCGGGUUGUAAAGCUCUGUCUUCAGGGACGAUAAUGACGGUAGCUGAGGAGGAAGCCACGGCUAACUACGUGCCAGCCGCCGCGGUAAUACGUAGGUGGCGAGCGUUGUCCGGAUUUACUGGGCGUAAAGGGCGCGUAGGCUGCCUUUUAAGUGUGAUGUGAAAUACUCCGGCUCCACUUGAGUGCUGCAUUUCAAACUGGAAGUCUAUAGUGCAGGAGAGGAGAAUGGAAUUCCUAGUGUAGCGGUGAAAUUCGUAGAGAUUAGGAAGAACACCAGUGGCGAAGGCGAUUCUCUGGACUGUAACUGACGCUGAGGCUCGAACGCGUGGGGAGCAAACAGGAUUAGAUACCCUGGUAGUC
rnacentral:rRNA from 1 species